CCAUCUGCCGGUGCUCGUCUUCCUCUACGUGCUACGUAGCAGCACCCUCUGACGGUGGGACACGCCUGCGAUGAGUAGGCUAUCGCCGUCUUGUAGCCCUGGUCAGCAGCUGUUGCUCUGAUCAGGAAAAUAGACAUACAGAAAAACGUGGAGCUCAUCCUAAAGAAGCUGGGGCAACUGGUGCAUUAUGUCGGGCCUUAAAACGGCCAACCGCAUACUCGCGCGGUGCAGGCAACUCAGUUGCCUGACAUGGCAACUCCGUCGCCAUCCAUCUUGGGCCGGUGAGAGGAGGAGAGAAACUCACCCCGGGAGCUUCCCAUGGCAGAUUGCUUUAAAAUCCUGAUUGACGACCUUCUUGGGUUUGGACACGGUCUGCUCGGGCCAGGAGUCCAGAGUAAAGCUCAGUAGGCAUCGCGCCCAUAGGCCAGUCACUUCACUCAGUGGCUGCUACCGCCGACUCGGAAGAAAAGAACCGCCAGCCUGGAUCGGAGGCGGGCACAACGAGGAGGAGCUCGACCAGCCCUGAUAGCCAGAACGGUACCUCGUCAGCCCAGGGCCUAUUCCAGCCCCGGCGGCUCCGCAGACACACGGAGCGCGGCGCAAACACAGGAGCAACGGAGGCGCGCGACCGACCCGGGUUUUUU